GACGAACACUGGCGGCGUGCUUAACACAUGCAAGUCGAACGGAAAGGCCCUGCUUUUGUGGGGUGCUCGAGUGGCGAACGGGUGAGUAACACGUGAGUAACCUGCCCUUGACUUUGGGAUAACUUCAGGAAACUGGGGCUAAUACCGGAUAGGAGCUCCUGCUGCAUGUGGGGGUUGGAAAGUUUCGGCGGUUGGGGAUGGACUCGCGGCUUAUCAGCUUGUUGGUGGGGUAGUGGCUUACCAAGGCUUUGACGGGUAGCCGGCCUGAGAGGGUGACCGGCCACAUUGGGACUGAGAUACGGCCCAGACUCCUACGGGAGGCAGCAGUGGGGAAUAUUGCACAAUGGGCGGAAGCCUGAUGCAGCAACGCCGCGUGCGGGAUGACGGCCUUCGGGUUGUAAACCGCUUUCGCCUGUGACGAAGCGUGAGUGACGGUAAUGGGUAAAGAAGCACCGGCUAACUACGUG
rnacentral:rRNA from 1 species